rnacentral:lncRNA from 1 species
GUGGGACCUGAGAUCCCUGCCCACUCUCUCCCCUUCAUUGGCUGCCCAGGCCACUGGCCCCAGUUCUCAGUGUCCCUUGGGUCCAGGCUCCUUGGGCCCUAAGCAUCACCAGAAGGGAGUAAGCAGGGAGAGAAGCAAUAUUACUCCCUCCCCUACACCAGGGACUUGCCCCAGGGCAGCCAGCACCAUGGGCAGGCCCUGCCAUGGACAGAAAAAGAGUUUUUCUCUUGUUCAGCCUGCACGUGGCCUGAGGAAGGAGUAGAGGCUGGGUUGGCUGGAGCCGUCCUACUGGGCAAGAUGGCGCCCCACUUGGAGGGCGGUGGUCUGUUACAGGGUGUGCAGGGGCAGAGAAGGAAGGGACCAGGGGACUGGGCCAGUAUGUGGAGGAUGGGGCCUGCGUGUUCAAAGCCAAGGCCCGCCCCUUCCUUGUGCUCAAAUGGCCAAAGCUGUUCACGUCUGUGCUCAACCAUCUGCUUCAAAUUGAAGUAAAAGCCCCAAAAUGUCAAG